rnacentral:rRNA from 1 species
UACGGUAGGGGCAAGCGUUGUCCGGAUUUAUUGGGCGUAAAGAGCGUGUAGGCGGUCUGGUAGGUCCGUUGUGAAAACUCGAGGCUCAACCUCGAGACGCCGAUGGAAACCAUCAGACUAGAGUCCGGAAGAGGAGAGUGGAAUUCCUGGUGUAGCGGUGAAAUGCGCAGAUAUCAGGAAGAACACCCGUGGCUAAGGCGGCUCUCUAGUACGGUACUGACGCUGAGACGCGAAGCGUGGGGAGCGAACAGG